ACCCAGCCGCUCCAACACGACCCUUCCACAAUGGACAGGCAUCCCUGGACCACGCCGCUCCAGGACGAGCAGGUUUUUGGCCUGACACCUGGCCCUCGCCCCUGCCCAGCCCAGUUCUCUGGCACUUCCCAGGGUGUCCACGCAGCGGGCGGGUGGGAGCAGGCAGGAAUGGCUGGGAUGGUUGAACGAGGCUCCCCUUGCACAGACCCCGCCGUGGGGCUCCCGGCCAGCGCCGUCCCCACACACCCAGCCCAGGAGCUCCCCACCUGCCGCCUCGCACUGCUUUGUCUGAGCACCGGGGACCUCGCCGGGGAGCUCGGCUCCUCCUGGGGACGCCGGGAACGCCACGGCGCCAACGGGGAGCCGGCCACCAGCUCCAGAACGCCGGGACCUGAGGAGGGGGAACCAGCGGCUCCUCUCCCCUUCAGCUCUCUCCCCCGGCAUUUCUGAGCCCUCCACAUGAGGGACUCCUGUGUGCAGGAACCCCGAGCUCCCUGGAAGCAGGCGGGUGAAGCAGAGAGGAGGGAGGUGAGAGGAUGGCACCGGGCAGCCGAGCAUCCUCCUGCGCUGGGACCCCAGCGAGGCAGAGCCGCAGGAAAGCUCCAGGCGAGGAUUUAACCUGCGGGGAGCAUCGAGCACCAAGGGCUGGAAGCAGGUGGAUAAAGAUGUAUCUCUGGAGCAGGACAGACCUCAGGAACAGGGAUGGGAGAGCUGGGAGGAAGGUUCCAGCACCAAGACCCUCACGGCCAUCCAGCAUGGGACAGCACUUGGUGUUGGCUGAGGAAGGUCACCAGGGGAUGGAAUAACACAGGACUGGCAGCAAGCCAGCAUCUCUCAUAGCACUGGAGUUUAUCUUUAACAACAACAACGGCAGCAGCCCCGCUUUGCUGGAAAAUACCUGCCCAGCGCCGGGAUCCUGCAUCCUCAGACAGAGCCAGGCAUCCUGCGGGAGCUGAGCCGUGUUAUCUGCCCGAGGGGGAUUACGCUGUGAAAACGGCUCGUUGGGGAUUGUAUAUUAACAGGAUAUGCUCGGCUGGUUGACAGGAAGCAAUAAAGUAAUUUGAAAGAGA